GACGAACGCUGGCGGCGUGCUUAACACAUGCAAGUCGAACGGAAAGGCCCUGCUUUUGUGGGGUGCUCGAGUGGCGAACGGGUGAGUAACACGUGAGUGACCUGCCCUUGACUUUGGGAUAACUUCAGGAAACUGGGGCUAAUACCGGAUAGGAGCUCCUGCUGCAUGGUGGGGGUUGGAAAUUUUCGGCGGUAGGGGAUGGACUCGCGGCUUAUCAGCUUGUUGGUGGGGUAGUGGCUUACCAAGGCUUUGACGGGUAGCCGGCAUGAGAGGGUGACCGGCGACAUGGGUACUGCGGGACGGCCCAGACUCCUAUGGGAGGCAGCAGUGGCGAAUAUUGCACAGUGGGCGGAAGCCUGAUGCAGCAGCGCCGCGUUCGGAAUGACGGCCUUCGGGGUGUAAACCGCUUUCGCCUGUGACGAAGCGGGAGUGACGGUAAUGGGUAAAGAAGCACCGGCUAACUACGUG
rnacentral:rRNA from 1 species